rnacentral:lncRNA from 1 species
UGGGUAGAAUUUAAGGCAAAAGUCUUUUUGUAAUAUAUCCCAAUCUCCUUGACUAUUCCUAACAUGGCGAUUAUACCAUUUCUUAGCUCGAUCCGUUAAUGAACAUGGAAAGAGUUUUCAUCUUAAAGUUUCAUCGGCCAUGCCCUUAAUACUCAGACAUGAACAUGUCUGCUCAAAAUCGGCUAAGCGAGAAUAGGAGUUUUCACUAGAAUUACCAGAAAAAAUAUGUUCUUGAACUAAGUUGAUUUGUCCCGGGCGUAGCUCAUAGCCAGAUGAUGUGAUAGGUUUAGAAGAAUCCUUUGGCUGGAGGUACGAUCCCGAUGGUGCUCCAUAUUGAUAUAAAAGUUGAUAUUCAAUUUCCAUUAUAUUUUUUAUUUUUUUAUAUAAAAGGAUAACUAUAGAAUAAGAUAGACUAAUGUCAAAGUCAGCAAACCGUUCCCCGGCAAUGGCGCCAGAAAUGCUUGUUGGUAUAAAUUAACUGCACCCUAAUAAUGAUUAUAAUCAGAUUAUCCGCAAGCACACAAAUAUAUACUCAUCAGCACUUCACCAAGAUUAACUCGGUUUUAAUAUCGAACCCAGAGGAACGGUAGGUGAUUUAUGACCUAGACUAUAAUUCUCAAUCUAAGGGGGGUACAAUCAAUCUAGAAAACUAUUGAGAAUGAGAAAAUACUAAUGUACUCUGGUUUCAAUAACUGGUAAACUUUGUAUAGUAUCGUAUUAUCGGGUAAGUAACCUGAAUUGGAGAAGAAUCAGAGUAAUCCCCUAUCAGACACCUAUAAGCCUAUCAAUCCUAUCAACAAGAAGUGGACUACAGAGGAAUCAACGUAGCUAUAAAGUCACCUACGCGAACUAUCAUUGUCCGACUGAUCAGGGGAUAUUCACAAGCAACCAUAGCCUAGACACCACGUCUAUGCUAUCCGGGCGAGGGACCCGAAUCCAUACGAAUAAAGCUCCUAAGGAAGCUCUGAUAGGCCGGGACUCCUCCGGAUCUCUACUCCUCUACUCUAUCUCUGUAAUCUCUAUCUUGAUUGCUAGCCUAGAUCUAGUGGAUCUGUAUCUAAUGCUCUGACUCUUCAUCUUUUGAUCUGGCCUCCUCCAGGGGGGUCUAGCCUUAUAUUUAUUGCCUGGUGGGAUAGACACGCGCCGUUGGAUCAAACCGACUUAACAAGCGGCCGAGAUGGCUCCUCAAAUGCGGUGGAGGAAGCUUUCGGAAGGAGGAGCAAACCCUAACCAUAGGGGGCCGACCGGCCCCACCUGGCGGCUGCUGGCUCCCCCGUUGCAUCGGGUGUCGUCUAGAGUAUUCCUAAUCCCAGUGGUGUCAUCCUUUCGUCGCGGAUAAGUUUCGUGGUCGAUUAGCACUUAAAUUCCUCUUUUCAGCUCUUUCUGAAAUAAUGUGUGGAAAGAAUAUGCAAAACUUAUAGAAAUUGUCAAUGACAACCCUAUUCUAGUAGAUAUUCAUAUCUCGUGGAGAAAUAAAUGCUAACAAAUUUUGUAAGUUAACAGGUGUCAACAGGUGGUAAAAUGCAUUAUUUGAAACUCAAUUUUAAAAUUUGGGCAAAUUUUGACAUUUUUAAUAUUUUUUCUUAAUUUAUUUUAUUUUGUUUAUUUUUUUGAAUAUUUCAAAUUUGAACUGCAGUUGCAUGGAAUAAUGUAUUGUAGUGUUUUGAAAGAUAUUAUUUAUGUUAUUUGGUGUAUGUUGAGUCAUUUUAUGUGAACUCGCAUCAAAUUUCUUGCAUCUUCUUUGCAUAACAUGACGAGCCACAUACCAAAAAAGUAAUUUAAAAUUAUAUAAAAUCCAUACGAAGUCUAAAAAUCAUGAAACUUGUCGAAAUGUCAUAUUUUCCCAUGUGUGUAGCUUGUGGUAAAAAAUUAAGAAAGUUUCGAGCGAGUUGUGACAUU